GGUGAGGGAGACUGGGUCCUGGCCUUUGGGCAUCAUCCAGCGCCAUCGGCCUGGCGCUUCAGCCAACGCGGGAGUGGAUGGGCCCCUUCUUCUUCGCAGACAGCGUUCGGCCGCUGCCCGGGCUCUAGGCGCGGCCGGACGGCCCAGUCUGGAGGGUUCGGGGCGGAGGCCCGGGGGGGUGCGCGCGCCCGGGGUCCGGCCUCUCACUCGCUCCCCUCUCGUCCGCAGCCGCAGGGCCGUAGGCAGCCAUGGCGCCCAGCCGGAAUGGCAUGGUCUUGAAGCCCCACUUCCACAAGGACUGGCAGCGGCGCGUGGCCACGUGGUUCAACCAGCCGGCCCGUAAGAUCCGCAGGUGAGCCCUGCGCUCGGGGCUGCCCCUGGGGCUCGUGCCCGCGGCUGCGCCUUGGCUUGCGGGUGGCCGAUGCCAGGGCGGGGGGCGCUGUCUGCAACCGUCGCGGAGCGCUGGCCUGGCGGCCUUAGGCAAGGGUGACCGCCGCUGCGCUUCUCUCCACCAGACGUAAGGCCCGGCAAGCCAAGGCGCGCCGCAUCGCCCCGCGCCCCGCGUCGGGUCCCAUCCGGCCCAUCGUGCGCUGCCCCACGGUUCGGUACCACACGAAGGUGCGCGCCGGCCGCGGCUUCAGCCUGGAGGAGCUCAGGGUGAGUACUGGCAGCGCUGCGGUGUCAGGAAGGCCCCGAAGUCCCCUCUGUUGGCCUCAGUCGCGUGAUGACAUUCUCCGGAAUCGCUGUACGGCCUUGAUGAAAGCACAUUUGAACCCUUUUCCAUCUGAUUGCUGAGGCUUUUCAUCCAGGCCUCGGGGCUGGAGAAAGCCCGGGCCUGUCUCCAUCUCUCUCUGGUUCUGGGGCAGGUGGCCGGCAUUCACAAGAAGGUGGCCCGGACCAUCGGCAUUUCUGUGGAUCCGAGGAGGCGGAACAAGUCCACGGAGUCCCUGCAGGCCAACGUGCAGCGGCUGAAGGAGUACCGCUCCAAACUCAUCCUCUUCCCCAGGAAGCCCUCGGCCCCCAAGAAGGGAGACAGUUCUGCUGAAGAACUGAAACUGGCCACCCAGCUGACCGGACCGGUCAUGCCCGUCCGGAACGUCUAUAAGAAGGAGAAAGCUCGAGUCAUCACUGAGGAAGAGAAGAAUUUCAAAGCCUUCGCUAGUCUCCGUAUGGCCCGUGCCAACGCCCGGCUCUUCGGCAUACGGGCAAAAAGAGCCAAGGAAGCCGCAGAACAGGAUGUU
rnacentral:lncRNA from 1 species